AUUCCAGCUCCAAUAGCGUAUAUUAAAGUUGUUGCAGUUAAAAAGCUCGUAGUCGGAUUUUGGCAUCACGCCGAACUGUCUGCCGAUUGGUAAGUACGGUUUGGCGGGUGCUUCCUUCCGGAGGCUCGUUCCCUUCCUCAUUGAAGGGUUCGUUGGUUCCGGGUCUUUUACUUUGAAAAAAUUAGAGUGCUCAAAGCAGGCUUUUCACGCUUGAAUAUUCGUGCAUGGAAUAAUGGAAUAGGAACUCGUUUCUAUUUUGUUGGUUUUCGGAAAUCGAGUUAAUGAUUAACAGGGACAAUUGGGGGCAUUAGCAUUCAGACGACAGAGGUGAAAUUCUUGGACCGUCUGAGGACUGACUACUGCGAAAGCAUUUGCCAAGAGUGUUUUCAUCG
rnacentral:rRNA from 1 species